CCAGCUCCAAGAGUGUAUAUUAAUACUGCUGUAGUUAAAACGCCCGUAGUAGGUUUAAUGGGAAUAUCCUACAUUCCUGCUCAUUGUUGUGUGUGUAACUUGCGCUGUAACACUGCGAGUGAUAGCAUACGAUGAGCCUCGCGGAGAUUGGUUUAUGCCAUGAUUCGAGGUUGUAUGGGUAUUUCUGUUCCCUGUUGUUCGCAACAGGAGGCCACUGCCUUUUGCACCUGUGAUAAAAUUGUUAUGCUUAAGGUCGGCUUUGUCAACAAGCUAGAGCAUCCUAGCAUGGGAUCGCUUGUAAGCUGUAUGUGAACAGAUGGGGGCAACCCUUGAGGGUCAUGUGCGCCGUUGUAAUGGGGUAAGGGUGAGGUUCCGGGUACCAUGAGGCUAGAGGUGAAAUUCUGAGAACCUUAUGUGACAACUAAUGCGAAAGCUGUCGUGAACCACCACAAACCCGUCUAUCAGGGACGAAAGUUGGGGGAUCGAAGACGAUUAGAU
rnacentral:rRNA from 1 species